GUGGGGAAUUUUGGACAAUGGGCGCAAGCCUGAUCCAGCGACGCCGCGUGGAGGACGAAGGCCUUCGGGUUGUAAACUCCUUUUGGAGGGGAAGAAUAAAUUGACGGUACCCUCAGAAAAAGCCACGGCUAACUACGUGCCAGCAGCCGCGGUAAUACGUAGGUGGCGAGCGUUACUCGGAAUUACUAGGCGUAAAGCGUAUGUAGGUGGUUAGAUAAGUCUAUGGUGAAAUUUCCUGGCUUAACUGGGAAGGGACAUAGAUACUAUCUGGCUUGAGUGUGGGAGGGGGAGACGGAAUUCCUGGUGUAGCGGUGAAAUGCGUAGAUAUCUGGAGGAAUACCGAUGGCGAAGGCAGCCAUCUGGCCUAAUACUGACACUGAGGUGCGAAAGCAUGGGGAGCAAACAGGAUUAGAAACCCCAGUAGUCC
rnacentral:rRNA from 1 species